GGAUCUUCCAGAGAUUAGAGUUUGAUCCUGGCUCAGAUUGAACGCUGGCGGCAGGCCUAACACAUGCAAGUCGAACGGUAACAGGAAGCAGCUUGCUGCUUCGCUGACGAGUGGCGGACGGGUGAGUAAUGUCUGGGAAACUGCCUGAUGGAGGGGGAUAACUACUGGAAACGGUAGCUAAUACCGCAUAACGUCGCAAGACCAAAGAGGGGGACCUUAGGGCCUCUUGCCAUCGGAUGUGCCCAGAUGGGAUUAGCUAGUAGGUGGGGUAACGGCUCACCUAGGCGACGAUCCCUAGCUGGUCUGAGAGGAUGACCAGCCACACUGGAACUGAGACACGGUCCAGACUCCUACGGGAGGCAGCAGUGGGGAAUAUUGCACAAUGGGCGCAAGCCUGAUGCAGCCAUGCCGCGUGUAUGAAGAAGGCCUUCGGGUUGUAAAGUACUUUCAGCGGGGAGGAAGGGAGUAAAGUUAAUACCUUUGCUCAUUGACGUUACCCGCAGAAGAAGCACCGGCUAACUCCGUGCCAGCAGCCGCGGUAAUACGGAGGGUGCAAGCGUUAAUCGGAAUUACUGGGCGUAAAGCGCACGCAGGCGGUUUGUUAAGUCAGAUGUGAAAUCC
rnacentral:rRNA from 1 species